rnacentral:sRNA from 1 species
UCAGAAGCAUUUGCAUUUUAGCAGGGCACUUUUGAAUAGUGAAGAGCCAUUAAGUCAUAAAGGAACAAAUUUUUAAUGGAAUUGCAGUGGGUAACAUAAAAUAUAGUAAGAUGGGUUUCAGAUGUGUAUAAAAUGAAAAGAACAAGGUGGGGAGGGAGUUCAGAAGAGUUAUUGCAAUACAUUCUUCCAUGCCACUUUUGAAGGCUUUUAGUUCUAAUCCACUGACAAAUUUUUGCUCUGCCAUUUUUGUUGUAGUAAUACAAAACAGAUGUAUGACUUAGAAAGGGGAAAGGACCUCUCCCUACUACGCAGUAUAUUACGAACUUGGAAACAGAUUAAAUCUCUUCGACAUGGGCAAGGGUUUACAAGCACCCCAAUAAAGUUACAGGUUCAGAGGAUUAAAAUGAAUAAAUGUGAUGAACAAGAGCAAAUCUCAGAAAUGUCUGAAACUGAG